UGUUUUAUUUGCCAUUUUUUUCUGCUCUGAUGAGUAUUUUUGGUGCUUUAUAGUAUUUUUUUUUAUGUUUCUAACUUGCAGUUGAUAGAAAUGCAAGUCCAGGCUUUUAUGUGUCACAUGAUAGUGGCCACUAGCCACAUUGUUUCUCUUAAGAAAUUGAAAUUGAUAUUGUUUCUUUCACAAAGGGCUAAUGCUCAAUCUAUAAAUGAAUAGAUUUAACUUCCACUUUUUCCUUUACAUUUUCCUAUUUAUUUAACUCGUUAAUUCCCUACCUAGCUAAUAAAUAUCAUAAUUGUAUUAACUAGUUCCCUUUUUCCCAUAGCCUUAACACUGGAUUCAAUUAGCCCCUUGUUAAGACAAAACUCAUUGGCAAGCGUACUAAAUCGUUCAAGCAAUAUAAAAUGGUAAGACUAAGUAUCGUUUCUCAAGAGAUUCGUCUAAUACUAAAGAAUUGUACGAUUAACAACUCAUCUAGACUAAAGAGCCAAACAUAAAUCUACAAACAUGUAAAAUAAGAUAAAAUUACAAAAUAUACAAGGGGGACUUUGGUAGUUGAAGACAGUUAAGAACGGAAAAUGGUUUAGGGUUUAUAUGAAUUGACAUUGCUAAGGUUAGGUUUCACCAAUUCACUCUCAUGCAUGUACAAUUUCAUCUCCCCUCCAUCAAUACACUAAAGUCAACCCACAAAAACACUUCAGCCCUAAUCCCUUAGGUGGAAGAGCCUAGAUUUCCCUAUUAACUGCCAAUCCCUUGGUCAAUCAACAAGCAAAACCUGCAUUAAGAUCUAAGAUCUAAGACAACAAAUGGGUCAUGUUCCAUCCCUAGAAUUCAUGUCCCCAUUAGGCCUCUUAUUUCAAAUCUAGUUCACAAGAUACCUCAUACCCCAUGAGUCACAGAUCAAGUCAUGAACGUCCCCAUUACAUGCAAGCAUUAAGAUUGGAAACAAGAAACUAGCAAUUGAUGGAAAAAUCAUAUAUAUAAUCAAAUCACUCAACAAAUACACCAGAAUUCAGAGGCUACAUCUAUUCCCAACAAGAUGGGUUUGGCUCUCCAUUUCCAUGGAGAGCCUUAGAGCUUACAAACAUGGAAGAUGGAAGAAGAAAGAGACCCAAUAGAGGAGAAGAUGUUCCCACAAGCUCCUCGCAACCUCCAUGAGCUCCUAAAGUGAAAUUGUGCCUUUUAACCACCAAAGACCCAUUUCCCUUUGUGUUUCAGAGCUAAAUAAACCAGAUCUGCCACAUCAGCACCGACAACGCUUAGCAUUAGAAUCUGGGCACUCAGUGCCAUGCUCUCGGGAAAUGGUCGCUCAAUGUUGGAUUUGGGCGCUCAGUGUCCUGGCCAUUAGAAUCAUCAUUUCGUCUUCAUAAGGGGUGGCGCUCAGUGCCAAGCUUGGGCGCUCUGCAUUGGGUCUUGUAGUCUCUCAUUUUGUGCAUAUUCGCUUGCUUAUGUGGCUGAUUCAGCUCUAUACAUUGGUGGAGGUUCUUUCAAGCAGAAUAUUAGCUACAAAAUAAGGGGAUUAGUGAUGAUAUUAUAUCAAUGUAGCCCAAAAGGCAAUUAGUUAUAUAAGUAAGAUAAAAGAGAGGAUUAAACAAAUUUCAAGCUAGAAAAAAGUUGAUUUUGUCAAGAAAAUGAGGCUCAGAUAAUGGUAAGAAUUAGCAUUAUCACCCCUUAUUAGUCAAACUUAGCCACUGGUCUCUGUUCUUGUUUUAGCACAAUUUCUAAACCUCUGUCGGGUGCAUCUGUUUCUAUGAUUGAAGUCUUAGAGAAAUCAGUUGCCUUGAGUGAUGGCUAGAUUGUCAAACAUUUUUUCAUGCUUUGAACACUGUUGGCGUUUCCAAGCCUCAGUUAAAGCUGUCUUUUCCAAGAGAAGAGUUCAAGGUUUGGCAAUUUUACCAUAGUCUCGAGCAAAGUUCCUGUAAUAACUAGUUAGACCUAGUAGUCUCCACAAUCCCUUGAGAUAUGUUAGAUAUAUUAUCUUUAUUUUAUAUUUAUCUUUUAUCUUUAGUUAAUUUGUUAUUAUUUGUAUUUUGGGCUUAGCCCAUAUUUCUUCUAUUAUAAAUAAAGGACCCUAUGUGUAUAUUCAACACAAGGGAGAUUAAUCCCAUAUAUAGUUUUUCACUAUAUUCAACAUGGUAUCUAGAACAUAAGGUUCUUUGUUCGUUGGCCCUGCCCACUAUAACCGCCGUCGCCGUUAGAGUCGUCGUCGCCGAUGUUAGAGUCAUUGUUGCCGCUGUCACUGUCACCAGAGCAUUAGUUUCAACCAGUGACAACAAUUUUUCUCGUCUCGGCCAAGCAACCACAACGUCGUCAAGAUGCUACCAUCGGAGUCCAGACAUGCUUUCACGCAUCGAUCACAGUUUUCUUCCACUAUAUAGCCAUUCGUGACAGUACGUGUGUCGUUGUCUCCAUCGCCGACUACCUUCAUUGGACUCAUCACGACCUGGUUGUGUUGAUUGGCCUCUUUUGAGUUCUAGGUUUUUUUACUCUCCUGCUUGUUCAUGACUUCUAACCCGUCCAUAUAUACUAUGUUAAUGUGCACUUAUCUAUUGAUAAGUUAGAUGAUACUAAUUAUGCGACUUGAACAUUAGACGUUAAACUUUGGCUUAAGAGUAAGGGGUAUCUUGAUCAUAUUACUCAGAACGUGACAACUAUUGAUUCUGCUGCAGUUACCCAUUGGUUGAAAGUUGAUACUCAGUUAUGCAUUGUUCUCAAGGGUACCCUUCAUUCCUCUUCCAAACAAAUUUUUUGUUCCUAUGAAACAUGUUUUGAAAUCUGGGAACAUGCCAAAUUAUUGUACACCAAGAUACUCAACGUCUUUAUGGUGUUUGUCAUGAUCUUCUCAAUGUUCUUGCUUCUCGGCGUCAGGACUCUAUGACUGAUUAUAUGGGUAAAAUUCAUGCUCUUUUUCAUGAGUUUAAUGAAUUAUUGCCUCUUGCCAAAGAAAUAGAGCAACGGUCAAAGUUCUUCAUGCUACUAGCAUUACACGGCCUUGCUGAUGAGUAUUCUCAUAUUCGUGAUCAGAUUUUGGGUUCACCUGUUGUUCCCACUUUGACUUCUACUUGUUCCACUCUUUUGCGUGUACCUAGUAAACCCAUCAAUGAUACAUAUGUUUCCUCUACGUUGGCAUCUCAGCAUCAUGAUCGCAAUCACUCUCACAAACCGGGAAAAGGACGUCUCAGGUGUAACCAUUGUGGCAAGGUAGGCCACACGAUUGACAGGUGUUAUGCAUUACAUGGUCGCCCACCUAGAUUUCCUGCAAUUGUUCAGACUGCUUCUUCGUCACAAUCACCUACUGGGGAUCCUCCUUCAUCUGAUAUUACUGAUGACUCUGUUAUUUUCAAUAAAUUUCUCAAAUGGUAUAAGGAUCAACAACCUUCUAGUUCCACUGCAUUUGUAGCACACACAGGUACAUCUUUUAUUGGUCUGAGUCCAUCUUCUUCUCUUAACUCUUGGGUUCUUGACUCGGGAGCCACGUAUCACAUUAUUGGUAACAAAUCUUUGUUUUCCUCUUUGUCCUCUCCAAAUCCUUUGCCUUCUGUUACAAUGGCUGAUGGAUCUAGAGUUUUAGCUCUUGGGACUGUUAACAUUUUUCCUUUUUUAUUCAUUGAUAAUGUUCUUUAUGUACCUGGGUCUCCUUUUAACUUAUUAUCUGUCAGUCGUCUUACUCGUUCUCUUGAUUGUGAUAUUUCUUUUAACAAAGAUUUUGUUUGUUUACAUGAUCGGAGUUUGAGACAGGUGAUUGGCACUGGAUGUGAGUCUCAUGGUCUUUAUCAUCUUCGUCCCUAUACACAUAUUGGUGCAGUUAUGGAAUCUCCAUCUCUUCUUCAUGCUCAGUUAGGUCAUCCCAGUCUUGCCAAAUUGCAACAACUUGUUCCUAACUUAUCCAAGUUGUCCACUUUGGUCUGUGAGUCGUGUCAAUUAGGAAAACAUAUUCGUAGUUCCUUUCCUCGUAGUGUCUCACAACGUUCUUCGUCCCCUUUUGCCUUAGUUCAUUCUGACAUUUGGGGACCUAGUCGUGUUCAGUCUAAUUUAGAUUUUCAAUAUUUCGUUACUUUUAUUGAUGAUUAUUCUAGAUGCACUUGGCUGUUUUUAAUGAAAAAUCGUUAUGAGUUAUUGUAUCUUUUUCAAACCUUUUAUAAUGAAAUUAAAAUUCAGUUUGAUGUUUCUAUUCAAACUUUGCGCAGUGAUAAUGGUUGUGAAUAUCUUUCCCAUUCUUUUAAACAAUUUAUGGCUUCUCAUGGUAUUCUCCACCAAACUUCAUGUGCUUAUACACCUCAACAAAAUGGGGUGGAUGAGCGCAAAAAUAGACAUCUUAUUGAAACAACUCGUACUUUUUUAAUUCAUGAUAACAUUCCUCGGGGUAAUGCUGUUCUUACUGCAUGUUAUCUCAUUAAUCACAUGUCUUCUUCUAUUUUAGAAAAUAAAAUACCUCAUUUUAUCUUAUUUUCUCAUGAACCCCUUCACCCCUUACCUCUAAAAGUUUUUGGGUCUACAUGUUUUGUUCAUAAUUUUGGUCUUGGUCUUGAUAAGUUAGCUCCUCGAUCACACAAAUGUGUGUUUUUAGGCUUUACUAAAUCAAAGAAAGGAUACAAGUGUUUUUCCCCUUCUCUUGAUCGUUGUUUUAUAUCUGCAGAUGUCACAUUCAAUGAGUCUUCCUUUUAUUUUAAUGAUCAUUCUUCUUCUGAUAUGUCUCCUUCUAAUACUAUCAAUAUUCAUGUUGUUUGUACUCCUCCAAUUGUGCCUAGUUCACCAGGUGUUUCUCAACAACCACCAAGUGACUCAAUUGAAGUACCAACUACCUUGUCUCCUUUGGCUCCAACAACUGAGUCUACCCUUCCAAUUUCCCUUCGAAAAGAUUAUUCCGAGUUGUGCAUGCUCCACUAUUUCUUCGUAGUUUUGCAUCUGAUAGAAGACAUAUGAAAGAUUCUGGUGGAAAGUGGAUUGAAGAACCUCCUUCACAUGAGCCUAUAGUUGCAGAAGAUGGAACAUUGCACAACCUGAAUGAAUACAUUAACAUAUCUGUCGCUGAUGCUAUCACUGAUGUUACUAUCAGUUCAGUCAAAGAUGUAAUUUUUACCCAGAAAAAUGGUGUGGUGAUAAAGGCUAAUCAGCUUGUGGA